UAGUCCACGCCGUAAACGAUGCACACUAGGUCGGGGAGGUUUUCACGCCGUCCCGGCCGAAGGUAAACUAUUAAGUGUGCCGCCUGGGGAGUACGGUCGCAAGGCUAAAACUCAAAGGAAUUGACGGGGGCUCACACAAGCGGUGGAGCAUGUUGCUUAAUUCGAGGCAACGCGAAGAACCUUACCUGGGCUUGACAUGCACGGAUUAGCUCUUGGAAACAUGAGUAACGCCCUUUGGGUGGAACGUGCACAGGUGCUGCAUGGCUGUCGUCAGCUCGUGCUGUGAAGUGUCGGGUUAAGUCCCUUAACGAGCGCAACCCCUAUCGUUAGUUACUAACGCGUUAUGGCGAGGACUCUAGCGAGACUGCCGGUGUCAAACCGGAGGAAGGUGGGGAUGACGUCAAGUCCUCAUGGCCCCUUACGCCCAGGGGAUGCAAACGUGCUACAAUGGGCAUGGACAAGCGACGCAAGACCGCGAGGGUGGAGCAAAUCGACAAAAACC
rnacentral:rRNA from 1 species